rnacentral:rRNA from 1 species
CCCCUAGAUGUUCUGGGCCGCACGCGCGCUACACGAAACAGUUCAACAAGUCUUAACCUUGGCCGAUAGGUCUGGGUAAUCUUUGAACGCUGGUCGUGAUGGGGAUAGACUUAUGCAAUUUUUGGUCUUCAACGAGGAAUUCCUAGUAAACGCAAGUCAUCAACUUGCAUUGAUUACGUCCCUGCCCUUUGUACACACCGCCCGUCGCACCUACCGAUUGAAUGGUCCGGUGAAGCCUCCGGAUUGGCGCGCACCUCGGUGCCGCCGAGAAGUUGGCUAAACCUUACCAUUUAGAGGAAGGUGAAGUCGUAACA